ACCUUCAUAGCCCAGUUGGUAGAGCACAUGACUGUAAGAAGUUCCUGAAACGCUGUGGUCCAAAGGUCGCUGGUUCAACUCCUACUCCAAACACCAGAUUUCAAUGCUCUAUGCAGUGUUCAACCUUUUUCAUUGACCAGGUGGCUUGAUUGUUGUUUUGGCAAAGUGUGUCGCCGAAGCCACUAUGUUUUCUGCGUUUUUAUCUAUAAGCACCUUCAUAGCUCAGUUGGUAGAGCACAUGACUUUAAGAAGUUCCUGAAACGCUGUGGUCCAAAGGUCACUGGUUCAACUCCUACUCCAAACACCAGAUUUCAAUGGUCUAUGCACUGUUCAACCUUUUUCAUUGACCAGGUGGCUUGAUUGUUGUUUUGGCAAAGUGUGUCGCCGAAGCCACUAUGUUUUCUGCGUUUUUAUCUAUAAGCACCUUCAUAGCUCAGUUGGUAGAGCACAUGACUUUAAGAAGUUCCUGAAACGCUGUGGUCCAAUGACGCUGGUUCAACUCCUGCUCCAAACACCAGAUUUCAUUUGUAUAUGCACUGUUCAUCCUUUUUCAUUGACCAGGUGGCUUGAUUGUUGUUUUGGCAAAGUGUGUCGCCGAAGCCACUAUGUUUUCUGCGUUUUUAUCUAUAAGCACCUUCAUAGCUCAGUUGGUAGAGCACAUGACUGAAAGAAGUUCCUGAAACGCUGUGGUCCAAAGGUCACUGGUUCAACUCCUACUCCAAACACCAGAUUUCAAUGGUCUAUGCACUGUUCAACCUUUUUCAUUGACCAGGUGGCUUGAUUGUUGUUUUGGCAAAGUGUGUCGCCGAAGCCACUAUGUUUUCUGCGUUUUUAUCUAUAAGCACCUUCAUAGCUCAGUUGGUAGAGCACAUGACUUUAAGAAGUUCCUGAAACGCUGUGGUCCAAAGGACGCUGGUUCAACUCCUGCUCCAAACACCAGAUUUCAUUUGUAUAUGCACUGUUCAUCCUUUUUCAUUGACCAGGUGGCUUGAUUGUUGUUUUGGCAAAGUGUGUCGCCGAAGCCACUAUGUUUUCUGCAUUUUUAUCUAUAAGCACCUUCAUAGCCCAGUUGGUAGAGCACAUGACUGUAAGAAGUUCCUGAAACGCUGUGGUCCAAAGGUCGCUGGUUCAACUCCUACUCCAAACACCAGAUUUCAAUGCUCUAUGCAGUGUUCAACCUUUUUCAUUGACCAGGUGGCUUGAUUGUUGUUUUGGCAAAGUGUGUCGCCGAAGCCACUAUGUUUUCUGCGUUUUUAUCUAUAAGCACCUUCAUAGCUCAGUUGGUAGAGCACAUGACUUUAAGAAGUUCCUGAAACGCUGUGGUCCAAAGGUCGCUGGUUCAACUCCUGCUCCAAGCAACAGAUUUCAUUUGUAUAUGCACUGUUCAUCCUUUUUCAUUGACCAGGUGGCUUGAUUGUUGUUUUGGCAAAGUGUGUCGCCGAAGCCACUAUGUUUUCUGCGUUUUCAUCUAUAAGCACCUUCAUAGCUCAGUUGGUAGAGCACAUGACUGUAAGAAGUUCCUGAAACGCUGUGGUCCAAAGGUCCCUGGUUCAACUCCAGCUCAAAGCACCAGAUUUCAUUUGUAUAUGCACUGUUCAUCCUUUUUCAUUGACCAGGUGGCUUGAUUGUUGUGUUGGCAAAGUGUGUCGCCGAAGCCACUAUGUUUUCUGCGUUUUUAUCUAUAAGCACCUUCAUAGCUCAGUUGGUAGAGCACAUGACUUUAAGAAGUUCCUGAAACGCUGUGGUCCAAAGGACGCUGGUUCAACUCCUGCUCCAAACACCAGAUUUCUAUGGUCUAUGCACUGUUCAACCUUUUUCAUUGACCAUGUUGGUUCAAUAGUUAUGUUGGCAAAGUGUGUCGCCGAAGCCACUAUGUUUUCUGCGUUUUUAUCUAUAAGCACCUUCAUAGCUCAGUUGGUAGAGCACAUGACUUUAAGAAGUUCCUGAAACGCUGUGGUCCAAAGGACGCUGGUUCAACUCCUGCUCCAAACACCAGAUUUCAUUGGUGUAUGCACUGUUCAACAUUUUUCAUUGACCAUGUUGGUUCAAUAGUUAUGUUGGCAAAGUGUGUCGCCGAAGCCACUAUGUUUUCUGCGUUUUUAUCUAUAAGCACCUUCAUAGCUCAGUUGGUAGAGCACAUGACUUUAAGAAGUUCCUGAAACGCUGUGGUCCAAAGGACGCUGGUUCAACUCCUGCUCCAAACACCAGAUUUCAUUUGUAUAUGCACUGUUCAUCCUUUUUCAUUGACCAGGUGGCUUGAUUGUGGUUUUGGCAAAGUGUGUCGCCGAAGCCACUAUGUUUUCUGCGUUUUUAUCUAUAAGCACUUUCAUAGCUCAGUUGGUAGAGCACAUGACUGUAAGAAGUUCCUGAAACGCUGUGGUCCAAAGGUCGCUCGUUCAACUCCUACUCCAAACACCAGAUUUCAAUGUUCUAUGCACUGUUCAACCUUUUUCAUUGACCAGGUGGCUUGAUUGUUGUUUUGGCAAAGUGUGUCGCCCAAUCCACUAUGUUUUCUGCGUUUUUAUCUAUAAGCACCUUCAUAGCUCAGUUGGUAGAGCACAUGACUUUAAGAAGUUCCUGAAACGCUGUGGUCCAAAGGUCGCUGGUUCACCUCCUGCUCCAAACACCAGAUUUCAUUUGUAUAUGCACUGUUCAUCCUUUUUCAUUGACCAGGUGGCUUGAUUGUUGUUUUGGCAAAGUGUGUCGCCGAAGCCACUAUGUUUUCUGCGUUUUUAUCUAUAAGCACCUUCAUAGCUCAGUUGGUAGAGCACAUGACUGUAAGAAGUUCCUGAAACGCUGUGGUCCAAAGGUCGCUGGUUCAACUCCUACUCCAAACACCAGAUUUCAAUGUUCUAUGCACUGUUCAACCUUUUUCAUUGACCAGGUGGCUUGAUUGUUGUUUUGGCAAAGUGUGUCGCCGAAGCCACUAUGUUUUCUGCGUUUUUAUCUAUAAGCACCUUCAUAGCUAUGUUGGUAGAGCACAUGACUUUAAGAAGUUCCUGAAACGCUGUGGUCCAAAGGUCGCUGGUUCAACUCCAGCUCCAAGCAACAGAUUUCAUUUGUAUAUGCACUGUUCAUCCUUUUUCAUUGACCAGGUGGCUUGAUUGUUGUUUUGGCAAAGUGUGUCGCCGAAGCCACUAUGUUUUCUGCGUUUUUAUCUAUAAGCACCUUCAUAGCUCAUUUGGUAGAGCACAUGACUUUAAGAAGUUCUAGAAACGCUCUGGUUCAAAGGUCGCUGGUUCAACUCCUGCUCCAAACACCAGAUUUCAUUGGUCUAUGCACUGUUCAACCUUUUUCAUUGACCAGGUGGCUUGAUUGUUGUGUUGGCAAAGUGUGUCGCCGAAGCCACUAUGUUUUCUCCGUUUUCAUCUAUAAGCACCUUCAUAGCUCAUUUGGUAGAGCACAUGACUGUAAGAAGUUCCUGAAACGCUGUGGUCCAAAGGUCGCUGGUUCAACUCCAGCUCCAAGCACCAGAUUUCAUUUGUAUAUGCACUGUUCAUCCUUUUUCAUUGACCAGUUUGCUUCAUUGUUGUGUUGGCAAAGUGUGUCGCCGAAGCCACUAUGUUUUCUGCGUUUUUAUCUGUAAGCACCUUCAUAGCUCAGUUGGUAGAGCACAUGACUUUAAGAAGUUCCUGAAACGCUGUGGUCCAAAGGACGCUGGUUCAACUCCUGCUCCAAACACCAGAUUUCAUUGGUCUAUGCACUGUUCAACCUUUUUCAUUGACCAUGUUGGUUCAAUAGUUAUGUUGGCAAAGUGUGUCGCCGAAGCCACUAUGUUUUCUGCGUUUUUAUCUAUAAGCACCUUCAUAGCUCAGUUGGUAGAGCACAUGACUUUAAGAAGUUCCUGAAAUGCUGUGGUCCAAAGGUCGCUGGUUCAACUCCAGCUCCAAACACCGGAUUUCAUUUGUAUAUGCACUGUUCAUCCUUUUUCAUUGACCAGGUGGCUUGAUUGUUGUUUUGGCAAAGUGUGUCGCCGAAGCCACUAUGUUUUCUGCGUUUUUAUCUAUAAGCACCUUCAUAGCUCAGUUGGUAGAGCACAUGACUUUAAGAAGUUCCUGAAACGCUGUGGUCCAAAGGACGCUGGUUCAACUCCAGCUCCAAACACCAGAUUUCAUUGGUGUAUGCACUGUUCAACCUUUUUCAUUGACCAUGUUGGUUCAAUAGUUAUGUUGGCAAAGUGUGUCGCCGAAGCCACUAUGUUUUCUGCGUUUUUAUCUAUAAGCACCUUCAUAGCUCAGUUGGUAGAGCACAUGACUUUAAGAAGUUCCUGAAAUGCUGUGGUCCAAAGGUCGCUGGUUCAACUCCAGCUCCAAGCACCGGAUUUCAUUUGUAUAUGCACUGUUCAUCCUUUUUCAUUGACCAGGUGGCUUGAUUGUUGUUUUGGCAAAGUGUGUCGCCCAAGCCACUAUGUUUUCUGCGUUUUUAUCUAUAAGCACCUUCAUAGCCUAGUUGGUAGAGCACAUGACUUUAAGAAGUUCCUGAAACGCUGUUGUCCAAAGGACGCUGGUUCAACUCCAGCUCCAAACACCAGAUUUCAUUGGUGUAUGCACUGUUCAACCUUUUCCAUUGACCAUGUUGGUUCAAUAGUUAUGUUGGCAAAGUGUGUCGCCGAAGCCACUAUGUUUUCUGCGUUUUUAUCUAUAAGCACCUUCAUAGCUCAGUUGGUAGAGCACAUGACUUUAAGAAGUUCCUGAAACGCUGUGGUCCAAAGGUCGCUGGUUCAACUCCUGCUCCAAACACCAGAUUUCAUUUGUAUAUCCACUGUUCAUCCUUUUUCAUUGACCAGGUGGCUUGAUUGUUGUUUUGGCAAAGUGUGUCGCCGAAGCCACUAUGUUUUCUGCGUUUUUAUCUAUAAGCACCUUCAUAGCUCAGUUGGUAGAGCACAUGACUGUAAGAAGUUCCUGAAACGCUGUGGUCCAAAGGUCGCUGGUUCAACUCCUACUCCAAACACCAGAUUUCAAUGGUCUAUGCACUGUUCAACCUUUUUCAUUGACCAGGUGGCUUGAUUGUUGUUUUGGCAAAGUGUGUCGCCGAAGCCACUAUGUUUUCUGCGUUUUUAUCUAUAAGCACCUUCAUAGCUCAGUUGGUAGAGCACAUGACUUUAAGAAGUUCCUGAAACGCUGUGGUCCAAAGGACGCUGGUUCAACUCCUGCUCCAAACACCAGAUUUCAUUUGUAUAUGCACUGUUCAUCCUUUUUCAUUGACCAGGUGGCUUGAUUGUUGUUUUGGCAAAGUGUGUCGCCGAAGCCACUAUGUUUUCUGCGUUUUUAUCUAUAAGCACCUUCAUAGCCCAGUUGGUAGAGCACAUGACUGUAAGAAGUUCCUGAAACGCUGUGGUCCAAAGGACGCUGGUUCAACUCCUGCUCCAAACACCAGAUUUCAUUUGUAUAUGCACUGUUCAUCCUUUUUCAUUGACCAGGUGGCUUGAUUGUUGUUUUGGCAAAGUGUGUCGCCGAAGCCACUAUGUUUUCUGCGUUUUUAUCUAUAAGCACCUUCAUAGCCCAGUUGGUAGAGCACAUGACUGUAAGAAGUUCCUGAAACGCUGUGGUCCAAAGGUCGCUGGUUCAACUCCUACUCCAAACACCAGAUUUCAAUGGUCUAUGCACUGUUCAACCUUUUUCAUUGACCAGGUGGCUUGAUUGUUGUUUUGGCAAAGUGUGUCGCCGAAGCCACUAUGUUUUCUGCGUUUUUAUCUAUAAGCACCUUCAUAGCUCAUUUGGUAGAGCACAUGACUUUAAGAAGUUCCUGAAACGCUGUGGUCCAAAGGACGCUGGUUCAACUCCUGCUCCAAACACCAGAUUUCAUUGGUGUAUGCACUGUUCAACAUUUUUCAUUGACCAUGUUGGUUCAAUAGUUAUGUUGGCAAAGUGUGUCGCCGAAGCCACUAUGUUUUCUGCGUUUUUAUCUAUAAGCACCUUCAUAGCUCAGUUGGUAGAGCACAUGACUUUAAGAAGUUCCUGAAACGCUGUGGUCCAAAGGACGCUGGUUCAACUCCUGCUCCAAACACCAGAUUUCAUUUGUAUAUGCACUGUUCAUCCUUUUUCAUUGACCAGGUGGCUUGAUUGUUGUUAUGGCAAAGUGUGUCGCCGAAGCCACUAUGUUUUCUGCGUUUUUAUCUAUAAGCACUUUCAUAGCUCAGUUGGUAGAGCACAUGACUGUAAGAAGUUCCUGAAACGCUGUGGUCCAAAGGUCGCUGGUUCAACUCCUACUCCAAACACCAGAUUUCAAUGGUCUAUGCACUGUUCAACCUUUUUCAUUGACCAGGUGGCUUGAUUGUUGUUUUGGCAAAGUGUGUCGCCGAAGCCACUAUGUUUUCUGCGUUUUUAUCUAUAAGCACCUUCAUAGCUCAGUUGGUAGAGCACAUGACUUUAAGAAGUUCCUGAAACGCUGUGGUCCAAAGGUCGCUGGUUCAACUCCUGCUCCAAACACCAGAUUUCAUUUGUAUAUGCACUGUUCAUCCUUUUUCAUUGACCAGGUGGCUUGAUUGUUGUUUUGGCAAAGUGUGUCGCCCAAGCCACUAUGUUUUCUGCGUUUUUAUCUAUAAGCACCUUCAUAGCUCAGUUGGUAGAGCACAUGACUUUAAGAAGUUCCUGAAACGCUGUGGUCCAAAGGUUGCUGGUUCAACUCCAGCUCCAAGCAACAGAUUUCAUUUGUAUAUGCACUGUUCAUCCUUUUUCAUUGACCAGGUGGCUUGAUUGUUGUUUUGGCAAAGUGUGUCGCCGAAGCCACUAUGUUUUCUGCGUUUUUAUCUAUAAGCACCUUCAUAGCUCAUUUGGUAGAGCACAUGACUUUAAGAAGUUCUAGAAACGCUCUGGUUCAAAGGUCGCUGGUUCAACUCCUGCUCCAAACACCAGAUUUCAUUGGUCUAUGCACUGUUCAACCUUUUUCAUUGACCAGGUGGCUUGAUUGUUGUGUUGGCAAAGUGUGUCGCCGAAGCCACUAUGUUUUCUCCGUUUUCAUCUAUAAGCACCUUCAUAGCUCAUUUGGUAGAGCACAUGACUGUAAGAAGUUCCUGAAACGCUGUGGUCCAAAGGUCCCUGGUUCAACUCCAGCUCCAAGCACCAGAUUUCAUUUGUAUAUGCACUGUUCAUCCUUUUUCAUUGACCAGUUUGCUUCAUUGUUGUGUUGGCAAAGUGUGUCGCCGAAGCCACUAUGUUUUCUGCGUUUUUAUCUAUAAGCACCUUCAUAGCUCAGUUGGUAGAGCACAUGACUUUAAGAAGUUCCUGAAACGCUGUGGUCCAAAGGACGCUGGUUCAACUCCUGCUCCAAACACCAGAUUUCAUUGGUCUAUGCACUGUUCAACCUUUUUCAUUGACCAUGUUGGUUCAAUAGUUAUGUUGGCAAAGUGUGUCGCCGAAGCCACUAUGUUUUCUGCGUUUUUAUCUAUAAGCACCUUCAUAGCUCAGUUGGUAGAGCACAUGACUUUAAGAAGUUCCUGAAAAGCUGUGGUCCAAAGGUCGCUGGUUCAACUCCAGCUCCAAUCACCAGAUUUCAUUUGUAUAUGCACUGUUCAUCCUUUUUCAUUGACCAGGUGGCUUGAUUGUUGUUUUGGCAAAGUGUGUCGCCGAAGCCACUAUGUUUUCUGCGUUUUUAUCUAUAAGCACCUUCAUAGCUCAGUUGGUAGAGCACAUGACUUUAAGAAGUUCCUGAAACGCUGUGGUCCAAAGGACGCUGGUUCAACUCCAGCUCCAAACACCAGAUUUCAUUGGUGUAUGCACUGUUCAACCUUUUUCAUUGACCAUGUUGGUUCAAUAGUUAUGUUGGCAAAGUGUGUUGCCGAAGCCACUAUGUUUUCUGCGUUUUUAUCUAUAAGCACCUUCAUAGCUCAGUUGGUAGAGCACAUGACUUUAAGAAGUUCCUGAAAUGCUGUGGUCCAAAGGUCGCUGGUUCAACUCCAGCUCCAAGCACCGGAUUUCAUUUGUAUAUGCACUGUUCAUCCUUUUUCAUUGACCAGGUGGCUUGAUUGUUGUUUUGGCAAAGUGUGUCGCCCAAGCCACUAUGUUUUCUGCGUUUUUAUCUAUAAGCACCUUCAUAGCUCAGUUGGUAGAGCACAUGACUUUAAGAAGUUCCUGAAACGCUGUUGUCCAAAGGACGCUGGUUCAACUCCAGCUCCAAACACCAGAUUUCAUUGGUGUAUGCACUGUUCAACCUUUUCCAUUGACCAUGUUGGUUCAAUAGUUAUGUUGGCAAAGUGUGUCGCCGAAGCCACUAUGUUUUCUGCGUUUUUAUCUAUAAGCACCUUCAUAGCUCAGUUGGUAGAGCACAUGACUUUAAGAAGUUCCUGAAACGCUGUGGUCCAAAGGACGCUGGUUCAACUCCUGCUCCAAACACCAGAUUUCAUUUGUAUAUGCACUGUUCAUCCUUUUUCAUUGACCAGGUGGCUUGAUUGUUGUUUUGGCAAAGUGUGUCGCCGAAGCCACUAUGUUUUCUGCGUUUUUAUCUAUAAGCACCUUCAUAGCUCAGUUGGUAGAGCACAUGACUGAAAGAAGUUCCUGAAACGCUGUGGUCCAAAGGUCGCUGGUUCAACUCCUACUCCAAACACCAGAUUUCAAUGGUCUAUGCACUGUUCAACCUUUUUCAUUGACCAGGUGGCUUGAUUGUUGUUUUGGCAAAGUGUGUCGCCGAAGCCACUAUGUUUUCUGCGUUUUUAUCUAUAAGCACCUUCAUAGCUCAGUUGGUAGAGCACAUGACUUUAAGAAGUUCCUGAAACGCUGUGGUCCAAAGGACGCUGGUUCAACUCCUGCUCCAAACACCAGAUUUCAUUUGUAUAUGCACUGUUCAUCCUUUUUCAUUGACCAGGUGGCUUGAUUGUUGUUUUGGCAAAGUGUGUCGCCGAAGCCACUAUGUUUUCUGCGUUUUUAUCUAUAAGCACCUUCAUAGCCCAGUUGGUAGAGCACAUGACUGUAAGAAGUUCCUGAAACGCUGUGGUCCAAAGGUCGCUGGUUCAACUCCUACUCCAAACACCAGAUUUCAAUGGUCUAUGCACUGUUCAACCUUUUUCAUUGACCAGGUGGCUUGAUUGUUGUUUUGGCAAAGUGUGUCGCCGAAGCCACUAUGUUUUCUGCGUUUUUAUCUAUAAGCACCUUCAUAGCUCAGUUGGUAGAGCACAUGACUUUAAGAAGUUCCUGAAACGCUGUGGUCCAAAGGUCGCUAGUUCAACUCCAGCUCCAAGCACCAGAUUUCAUUUGUAUGUGCACUGUUCAUCCUUUUUCAUUGACCAGGUGGCUUGAUUGUUGUUUUGGCAAAGUGUGUCGCCGAAGCCACUAUGUUUUCUGCGUUUUUAUCUAUAAGCACCUUCAUAGCUCAGUUGGUAGAGCACAUGACUUUAAGAAGUUCCUGAAACGCUGUGGUCCAAAGGUCGCUGGUUCAACUCCUGCUCCAAGCAACAGAUUUCAUUUGUAUAUGCACUGUUCAUCCUUUUUCAUUGACCAGGUGGCUUGAUUGUUGUUUUGGCAAAGUGUGUCGCCGAAGCCACUAUGUUUUCUGCGUUUUCAUCUAUAAGCACCUUCAUAGCUCAGUUGGUAGAGCACAUGACUGUAAGAAGUUCCUGAAACGCUGUGGUCCAAAGGUCCCUGGUUCAACUCCAGCUCCAAGCACCAGAUUUCAUUUGUAUAUGCACUGUUCAUCCUUUUUCAUUGACCAGGUGGCUUGAUUGUUGUGUUGGCAAAGUGUGUCGCCGAAGCCACUAUGUUUUCUGCGUUUUUAUCUAUAAGCACCUUCAUAGCUCAGUUGGUAGAGCACAUGACUUUAAGAAGUUCCUGAAACGCUGUGGUCCAAAGGACGCUGGUUCAACUCCAGCUCCAAACACCAGAUUUCAAUGGUCUAUGCACUGUUCAACCUUUUUCAUUGACCAUGUUGGUUCAAUAGUUAUGUUGGCAAAGUGUGUCGCCGAAGCCACUAUGUUUUCUGCGUUUUUAUCUAUAAGCACCUUCAUAGCUCAGUUGGUAGAGCACAUGACUUUAAGAAGUUCCUGAAACGCUGUGGUCCAAACGUCGCUGGUUCAACUCCAGCUCCAAGCAACAGAUUUCAUUUGUAUAUGCACUGUUCAUCCUUUUUCAUUGACCAGGUGGCUUGAUUGUUGUUUUGGCAAAGUGUGUCGCCGAAGCCACUAUGUUUUCUGCGUUUUUAUCUAUAAGCACCUUCAUAGCUCAUUUGGUAGAGCACAUGACUUUAAGAAGUUCUAGAAACGCUCUGGUUCAAAGGUCGCUGGUUCAACUCCUGCUCCAAACACCAGAUUUCAUUGGUCUAUGCACUGUUCAACCUUUUUCCUUGACCAGGUGGCUUGAUUGUUGUGUUGGCAAAGUGUGUCGCCGAAGCCACUAUGUUUUCUGCGUUUUUAUCUAUAAGCACCUUCAUAGCUCAGUUGGUAGAGCACAUGACUUUAAGAAGUUCCUGAAACGCUGUGGUCCAAAGGACGCUGGUUCAACUCCUGCUCCAAACACCAGAUUUCAUUGGUGUAUGCACUGUUCAACAUUUUUCAUUGACCAUGUUGGUUCAAUAGUUAUGUUGGCAAAGUGUGUCGCCCAAGCCACUAUGUUUUCUGCGUUUUUAUCUAUAAGCACCUUCAUAGCUCAUUUGGUAGAGCACAUGACUUUAAGAAGUUCUAGAAACGCUCUGGUUCAAAGGACGCUGGUUCAAUUCCUGCUCCAAACACCAGAUUUCAUUGGUCUAUGCACUGUUCAACCUUUUUCAUUGACCAUGUUGGUUCAAUAGUUAUGUUGAAAAAGUGUGUCGCCGAAGCCACUAUGUUUUCUGCGUUUUUAUCUAUAAGCACCUUCAUAGCUCAGUUGGUAGAGCACAUGUCUUUAAGAAGUUCCUGAAACGCUGUGGUCCAAACGUCGCUGGUUCAACUCCAGCUCCAAGCAACAGAUUUCAUUUGUAUAUGCACUGUUCAUCCUUUUUCAUUGACCAGGUGGCUUGAUUGUUGUUUUGGCAAAGUGUGUCGCCGAAGCGACUAUGUUUUCUGCGUUUUUAUCUAUAAGCACCUUCAUAGCUCAGUUGGUAGAGCACAUGACUUUAAGAAGUUCCUGAAAUGCUGUGGUCCAAAGGUCGCUGGUUCAACUCCAGCUCCAAGCACUGGAUUUCAUUUGUAUAUGCACUGUUCAUCCUUUUUCAUUGACCAGGUGGCUUGAUUGUUGUUUUGGCAAAGUGUGUCGCCCAAGCCACUAUGUUUUCUGCGUUUUUAUCUAUAAGCACCUUCAUAGCUCAGUUGGUAGAGCACAUGACUUUAAGAAGUUCCUGAAACGCUGUGGUCCAAAGGACGCUGGUUCAACUCCAGCUCCAAACACCAGAUUUCAUUGGUGUAUGCACUGUUCAACCUUUUCCAUUGACCAUGUUGGUUCAAUAGUUAUGUUGGCAAAGUGUGUCGCCGAAGCCACUAUGUUUUCUGCGUUUUUAUCUAUAAGCACCUUCAUAGCUCAGUUGGUAGAGCACAUGACUUUAAGAAGUUCCUGAAACGCUGUGGUCCAAAGGACGCUGGUUCAACUCCUGCUCCAAACACCAGAUUUCAUUUGUAUAUGCACUGUUCAUCCUUUUUCAUUGACCAGGUGGCUUGAUUGUUGUUUUGGCAAAGUGUGUCGCCGAAGCCACUAUGUUUUCUGCGUUUUUAUCUAUAAGCACCUUCAUAGCUCAGUUGGUAGAGCACAUGACUGUAAGAAGUUCCUGAAACGCUGUGGUCCAAAGGUCGCUGGUUCAACUCCUACUCCAAACACCAGAUUUCAAUGGUCUAUGCACUGUUCAACCUUUUUCAUUGACCAGGUGGCUUGAUUGUUGUUUUGGCAAAGUGUGUCGCCGAAGCCACUAUGUUUUCUGCGUUUUUAUCUAUAAGCACCUUCAUAGCUCAGUUGGUAGAGCACAUGACUUUAAGAAGUUCCUGAAACGCUGUGGUCCAAAGGACGCUGGUUCAACUCCUGCUCCAAACACCAGAUUUCAUUUGUAUAUGCACUGUUCAUCCUUUUUCAUUGACCAGGUGGCUUGAUUGUUGUUUUGGCAAAGUGUGUCGCCGAAGCCACUAUGUUUUCUGCGUUUUUAUCUAUUAGCACCUUCAUAGCCCAGUUGGUAGAGCACAUGACUGUAAGAAGUUCCUGAAACGCUGUGGUCCAAAGGUCGCUGGUUCAACUCCUACUCCAAACACCAGAUUUCAAUGGUCUAUGCACUGUUCAACCUUUUUCAUUGACCAGGUGGCUUGAUUGUUGUUUUGGCAAAGUGUGUCGCCGAAGCCACUAUGUUUUCUGCGUUUUUAUCUAUAAGCACCUUCAUAGCUCAGUUGGUAGAGCACAUGACUUUAAGAAGUUCCUGAAACGCUGUGGUCCAAAGGUCGUUAGUUCAACUCCAAGCACCAGAUUUCAUUUGUAUGUGCACUGUUCAUCCUUUUUCAUUGACCAGGUGGCUUGAUUGUUGUUUUGGCAAAGUGUGUCGCCGAAGCCACCAUGUUUUCUGCGUUUUUAUCUAUAAGCACCUUCAUAUCUCAGUUGGUAGAGCACAUGACUGUAAGAAGUUCCUGAAACGCUGUGGUCCAAAGGUCGCUGGUUCAACUCCUGCUCCAAACACCAGAUUUCAAUGCUCUAUGCACUGUUCAACCUUUUUCAUUGACCAGGUGGCUUGAUUGUUGUUUUGGCAAAGUGUGUCGCCGAAGCCACUAUGUUUUCUGCGUUUUUAUCUAUAAGCACCUUCAUAGCUCAGUUGGUAGAGCACAUGACUUUAAGAAGUUCCUGAAACCCUGUGGUCCAAAGGUCGCUGGUUCAACUCCUGCUCCAAGCAACAGAUUUCAUUUGUAUAUGCACUGUUCAUCCUUUUUCAUUGACCAGGUGGCUUGAUUGUUGUUUUGGCAAAGUGUGUCGCCGAAGCCACUAUGUUUUCUGCGUUUUCAUCUAUAAGCACCUUCAUAGCUCAGUUGGUAGAGCACAUGACUGUAAGAAGUUCCUGAAACGCUGUGGUCCAAAGGUCCCUGGUUCAACUCCAGCUCCAAGCACCAGAUUUCAUUUGUAUAUGCACUGUUCAUCCUUUUUCAUUGACCAGGUGGCUUGAUUGUUGUGUUGGCAAAGUGUGUCGCCGAAGCCACUAUGUUUUCUGCGUUUUUAUCUAUAAGCACCUUCAUAGCUCAGUUGGUAGAGCACAUGACUUUAAGAAGUUCCUGAAACCCUGUGGUCCAAAGGACGCUGGUUCAAUUCCUGCUCCAAACACCAGAUUUCAUUGGUCUAUGCACUGUUCAACCUUUUUCAUUGACCAUGUUGGUUCAAUAGUUAUGUUGAAAAAGUGUGUCGCCGAAGCCACUAUGUUUUCUGUGAUUUUAUCUAUAAGUACCUUCAUAGCUCAGUUGGUAGAGCACAUGACUUUAAGAAGUUCCUGAAACGCUGUGGUCCAAAGGUCGCUGGUUCAACUCCUGCUCCAAACACCAGAUUUCAUUGGUCUAUGCACUGUUCAACCUUUUUCAUUGACCAUGUUGGUUCAAUAGUUAUGUUGGCAAAGUGUGUCGCCGAAGCCACUAUGUUUUCUGCGUUUUUAUCUAUAAGCACCUUCAUAGCUCAGUUGGUAGAGCACAUGACUUUAAGAAGUUCCUGAAAUGCUGUGGUCCAAAGGUCGCUGGUUCAACUCCAGCUCCAAGCACCAGAUUUCAUUUGUAUAUGCACUGUUCAUCCUUUUUCAUUGACCAGGUGGCUUGAUUGUUGUUUUGGCAAAGUGUGUCGCCGAAGCCACUAUGUUUUCUGCGUUUUUAUCUAUAAGCACCUUCAUAGCUCAGUUGGUAGAGCACAUGACUUUAAGAAGUUCCUGAAACGCUGUGGUCCAAAGGUCGCUGGUUCAACUCCUACUCCAAACACCAGAUUUCAAUGGUCUAUGCACUGUUCAACCUUUUUCAUUGACCAGGUGGCUUGAUUGUUGUUUUGGCAAAGUGUGUCGCCGAAGCCACUAUGUUUUCUGCGUUAUUAUCUAUAAGCACCUUCAUAGCUCAGUUGGUAGAGCACAUGACUUUAAGAAGUUCCUGAAACGCUGUGGUCCAAAGGUCGCUGGUUCAACUCCAGCUCCAAGCAACAGAUUUCAUUUGUAUAUGCACUGUUCAUCCUUUUUCAUUGACCAGGUGGCUUGAUUGUUGUUUUGGCAAAGUGUGUCGCCGAAGCCACUAUGUUUUCUGCGUUUUUAUCUAUAAGCACCUUCAUAGCUCAUUUGGUAGAGCACAUGACUUUAAGAAGUUCUAGAAACGCUCUGGUUCAAAGGUCGCUGGUUCAACUCCUGCUCCAAACACCAGAUUUCAUUGGUCUAUGCACUGUUCAACCUUUUUCAUUGACCAGGUGGCUUGAUUGUUGUGUUGGCAAAGUGUGUCGCCGAAGCCACUAUGUUUUCUCCGUUUUCAUCUAUAAGCACCUUCAUAGCUCAGUUGGUAGAGCACAUGACUGUAAGAAGUUCCUGAAACGCUGUGGUCCAAAGGUCCCUGGUUCAACUCCAGCUCCAAGCACCAGAUUUCAUUUGUAUAUGCACUGUUCAUCCUUUUUCAUUGACCAGGUGGCUUCAUUGUUGUGUUGGCAAAGUGUGUCGCCGAAGCCACUAUGUUUUCUGCGUUUUUAUCUAUAAGCACCUUCAUAGCUCAGUUGGUAGAGCACAUGACUUUAAGAAGUUCCUGAAACCCUGUGGUCCAAAGGACCCUGGUUCAAUUCCUGCUCCAAACACCAGAUUUCAUUGGUCUAUGCACUGUUCAACCUUUUUCAUUGACCAUGUUGGUUCAAUAGUUAUGUUGAAAAAGUGUGUCGCCGAAGCCACUAUGUUUUCUGCGAUUUUAUCUAUAAGUACCUUCAUAGCUCAGUUGGUAGAGCACAUGACUUUAAGAAGUUCCUGAAACGCUGUGAUCCAAAGGUCGCUGGUUCAACUCCUGCUCCAAACACCAGAUUUCAUUGGUCUAUGCACUGUUCAACCUUUUUCAUUGACCAUGUUGGUUCAAUAGUUAUGUUGGCAAAGUGUGUCGCCGAAGCCACUAUGUUUUCUGCGUUUUUAUCUAUAAGCACCUUCAUAGCUCAGUUGGUAGAGCACAUGACUUUAAGAAGUUCCUGAAAUGCUGUGGUCCAAAGGUCGCUGGUUCAACUCCAGCUCCAAGCACCAGAUUUCAUUUGUAUAUGCACUGUUCAUCCUUUUUCAUUGACCAGGUGGCUUGAUUGUUGUUUUGGCAAAGUGUGUCGCCGAAGCCACUAUGUUUUCUGCGUUUUUAUCUAUAAGCACCUUCAUAGCUCAGUUGGUAGAGCACAUGACUUUAAGAAGUUCCUGAAACGCUGUGGUCCAAAGGUCGCUGGUUCAACUCCUACUCCAAACACCAGAUUUCAAUGGUCUAUGCACUGUUCAACCUUUUUCAUUGACCAGGUGGCUUGAUUGUUGUUUUGGCAAAGUGUGUCGCCGAAGCCACUAUGUUUUCUGCGUUUUUAUCUAUAAGCACCUUCAUAGCUCAGUUGGUAGAGCACAUGACUUUAAGAAGUUCCUGAAACGCUGUGGUCCAAAGGUCGCUGGUUCAACUCCAGCUCCAAGCAACAGAUUUCAUUUGUAUAUGCACUGUUCAUCCUUUUUCAUUGACCAGGUGGCUUGAUUGUUGUUUUGGCAAAGUGUGUCGCCGAAGCCACUAUGUUUUCUGCGUUUUUAUCUAUAAGCACCUUCAUAGCUCAUUUGGUAGAGCACAUGACUUUAAGAAGUUCUAGAAACGCUCUGGUUCAAAGGUCGCUGGUUCAACUCCUGCUCCAAACACCAGAUUUCAUUGGUCUAUGCACUGUUCAACCUUUUUCAUUGACCAGGUGGCUUGAUUGUUGUGUUGGCAAAGUGUGUCGCCGAAGCCACUAUGUUUUCUCCGUUUUCAUCUAUAAGCACCUUCAUAGCUCAGUUGGUAGAGCACAUGACUGUAAGAAGUUCCUGAAACGCUGUGGUCCAAAGGUCCCUGGUUCAACUCCAGCUCCAAGCACCAGAUUUCAUUUGUAUAUGCACUGUUCAUCCUUUUUCAUUGACCAGGUGGCUUCAUUGUUGUGUUGGCAAAGUGUGUCGCCGAAGCCACUAUGUUUUCUGCGUUUUUAUCUAUAAGCACCUUCAUAGCUCAGUUGGUAGAGCACAUGACUUUAAGAAGUUCCUGAAACGCUCUGGUCCAAAGGACGCUGGUUCAACUCCUGCUCCAAACACCAGAUUUCAUUGGUCUAUCCACUGUUCAACCUUUUUCAUUGACCAUGUUGGUUCAAUAGUUAUGUUGGCAAAGUGUGUCGCCGAAGCCACUAUGUUUUCUGCGUUUUUAUCUAUAAGCACCUUCAUAGCUCAGUUGCUAGAGCACAUGACUUUAAGAAGUUCCUGAAACGCUGUGGUCCAAAGGACGCUGGUUCAACUCCUGCUCCAAACACCAGAUUUCAUUUGUAUAUGCACUGUUCAUCCUUUUUCAUUGACCAGGUGGCUUGAUUGUUGUUUUGGCAAAGUGUGUCGCCGAAGCCACUAUGUUUUCUGCGUUUUUAUCUAUAAGCACCUUCAUAGCUCAGUUGGUAGAGCACAUGACUGUAAGAAGUUCCUGAAACGCUGUGGUCCAAAGGUCGCUGGUUCAACUCCUACUCCAAACACCAGAUUUCAAUGGUCUAUGCACUGUUCAACCUUUUUCAUUGACCAGGUGGCUUGAUUGUUGUUUUGGCAAAGUGUGUCGCCGAAGCCACUAUGUUUUCUGCGUUUUUAUCUAUAAGCACCUUCAUAGCUCAGUUGGUAGAGCACAUGACUUUAAGAAGUUCCUGAAACGCUGUGGUCCAAAGGUCGCUGGUUCAACUCCUGCUCAAAACACCAGAUUUCAUUUGUAUAUGCACUGUUCAUCCUUUUUCAUUGACCAGGUGGCUUGAUUGUUGUUUUGGCAAAGUGUGUCGCCGAAGCCACUAUAUUUUCUGCGUUUUUAUCUAUAAGCACCUUCAUAGCUCAGUUGGUAGAGCACAUGACUGUAAGAAGUUCCUGAAACGCUGUGGUCCAAAGGUCGCUGGUUCAACUCCUACUCCAAACACCAGAUUUCAAUGGUCUAUGCACUGUUCAACCUUUUUCAUUGACCAGGUGGCUUGAUUGUUGUUUUGGCAAAGUGUGUCGCCGAAGCCACUAUGUUUUCUGCGUUUUAAUCUAUAAGCACCUUCAUAGCUCAGUUGGUAGAGCACAUGACUUUAAGAAGUUCCUGAAACGCUGUGGUCCAAAGGUCGCUGGUUCAACUCCAGCUCCAAGCAAAAGAUUUCAUUUGUAUAUGCACUGUUCAUCCUUUUUCAUUGACCAGGUGGCUUGAUUGUUGUUUUGGCAAAGUGUGUCGCCAAAGCCACUAUGUUUUCUGCGUUUUUAUCUAUAAGCACCUUCAUAGCUCAGUUGGUAGAGCACAUGACUGUAAGAAGUUCCUGAAACGCUGUGGUCCAAAGGUCGCUGGUUCAACUCCUACUCCAAACACCAGAUUUCAAUGGUCUAUGCACUGUUCAACCUUUUUCAUUGACCAGGUGGCUUGAUUGUUGUUUUGGCAAAGUGUGUCGCCGAAGCCACUAUGUUUUCUGCGUUUUAAUCUAUAAGCACCUUCAUAGCUCAGUUGGUAGAGCACAUGACUUUAAGAAGUUCCUGAAACGCUGUGGUCCAAAGGUCGCUGGUUCAACUCCAGCUCCAAGCAACAGAUUUCAUUUGUAUAUGCACUGUUCAUCCUUUUUCAUUGACCAGGUGGCUUGAUUGUUGUUUUGGCAAAGUGUGUCGCCGAAGCCACUAUGUUUUCUGCGUUUUUAUCUAUAAGCACCUUCAUAGCUCAGUUGGUAGAGCACAUGACUUUAAGAAGUUCUAGAAACGCUCUGGUUCAAAGGUCGCUGGUUCAACUCCUGCUCCAAACACCAGAUUUCAUUGGUCUAUGCACUGUUCAACCUUUUUCCUUGACCAGGUGGCUUGAUUGUUGUGUUGGCAAAGUGUGUCGCCGAAGCCACUAUGUUUUCUGCGUUUUUAUCUAUAAGCACCUUCAUAGCUCAGUUGGUAGAGCACAUGACUUUAAGAAGUUCCUGAAACGCUGUGGUCCAAAGGACGCUGGUUCAACUCCUGCUCCAAACACCAGAUUUCAUUUGUAUAUGCACUGUUCAUCCUUUUUCAUUGACCAGGUGGCUUGAUUGUUGUUUUGGCAAAGUGUGUCGCCGAAGCCACUAUGUUUUCUGCGUUUUUAUAUAUAAGCACUUUCAUAGCUCAGUUGGUAGAGCACAUGACUGUAAGAAGUUCCUGAAACGCUGUGGUCCAAAGGUCGCUGGUUCAACUCCUACUCCAAACACCAGAUUUCAAUGGUCUAUGCACUGUUCAACCUUUUUCAUUGACCAGGUGGCUUGAUUGUUGUUUUGGCAAAGUGUGUCGCCGAAGCCACUAUGUUUUCUGCGUUUUUAUCUAUAAGCACCUUCAUAGCUCAGUUGGUAGAGCACAUGACUUUAAGAAGUUCCUGAAACGCUGUGGUCCAAAGGUCGCUGGUUCAACUCCUGCUCCAAACACCAGAUUUCAUUUGUAUAUGCACUGUUCAUCCUUUUUCAUUGACCAGGUGGCUUGAUUGUUGUUUUGGCAAAGUGUGUCGCCGAAGCCACUAUGUUUUCUGCGUUUUUAUCUAGAAGCACCUUCAUAGCUCAGUUGGUAGAGCACAUGACUGUAAGAAGUUCCUGAAACGCUGUGGUCCAAAGGUCGCUGGUUCAACUCCUACUCCAAAC